GAUGAACGCUGGCGGCGUGCCUAAUACAUGCAAGUCGAGCGAAUGGAUUAAGAGCUUGCUCUUAUGAAGUUAGCGGCGGACGGGUGAGUAACACGUGGGUAACCUGCCCAUAAGACUGGGAUAACUCCGGGAAACCGGGGCUAAUACCGGAUAACAUUUUGAACCGCAUGGUUCGAAAUUGAAAGGCGGCUUCGGCUGUCACUUAUGGAUGGACCCGCGUCGCAUUAGCUAGUUGGUGAGGUAACGGGUCACCAAGGCAACGAUGCGUAGCCGGCCUGAGAGGGGGAUCGGACACACUGGGACUGAGACACGGCCCAGACUCCUACGGGAGGCAGCAGUAGGACAGCUUCCGCAAUGGACGAAAGUCUGACGGAGCAACGCCGCGUGAGUGAUGAAGGCUUUCGGGUCGUAAAACUCUGUUGUUAGGGAAGAACAAGUGCUAGUUGAAUAAGCUGGCACCUUGACGGUACCUAACCAGAAAGCCACGGCUAACUACGUGCCAGCCGCCGCGGUAA
rnacentral:rRNA from 1 species